GCCCUCGUAGCUCAACUGGAUAGAGCAGGUUCUUCGUAGGUCCCCGGCUGCUGGUUCGAGUCCAGCCGAGGGCG
rnacentral:tRNA from 1 species